rnacentral:rRNA from 1 species
AGAGUUUGAUCCUGGCUCAGAACGAACGCUGGCGGCAUGCCUAACACAUGCAAGUCGAACGCACCGGUUUCGGCCGGUGAGUGGCGCACGGGUGAGUAGCGCGUGGGAACCUGCCUUUCAGUGGGGGAUAACCGAGGGAAACUUCGGCUAAUACCGCAUGCGCCGGGAGCGAUCCCGGGAAAGAUUUAUCGCUGAAAGAG